CAAACCGGAGGAAGGUGGGGAGUGACGUCAAGUCCUCAUGGCCUUUAUGUCUAGGGCUACACACGUACUACCAAUGCCGGUACAAAGGCAGCCACUCAGCGAUGAGGCGCUAAUCCCAUAAAGCCGGUCUCAGUCCGGAUCGCAGUCUGCAACUCGACUGCGUGAAGUUGGAAUCGCUAGUAAUCGUAGAUCAGCAUGCUACGGUGAAUACGUUCCCGGGCCUU
rnacentral:rRNA from 1 species